GUACACGCUGUGACUAGCAUAUCAAUAAGCGGAGGAAAAGAAACUAACAAGGAUUCCCCUAGUAACGGCGAGUGAAGCGGGAAGAGCUCAAAUUUGAAAUCUUAAAGGGUUUCCCUUUACGAAUUGUAGUUUAAAGAAGUGUUUUCUGUUGAGGUUUUGGUAAAAGUUCUUUGGAAUAGGACAUCAUAGAGGGUGAGAAUCCCGUAUUUGACCUUUACUUUCAACUUUGUGAUACACUUUCAAAGAGUCGGAUUGUUUGGGAAUGCAGUCCAAAAUGGGUGGUAAAUUUCAUCUAAAGCUAAAUAUUGGCGAGAGACCGAUAGCGAACAAGUACCGUGAGGGAAAGAUGAAAGGAACUUUGAAAAGAGAGUUAAACAGUACGUGAAAUUGUCAAAAGGGAAGCGUUUGACACCAGUGUUGUUUUUCUGAAAAUCAAUUAAAGAACUGUUUAUGCUAAGCUGUUUAGACUUUAUCAGCUAUCUGUUUAGUUUUGAGCUUUUCUUUAAUGCACUUUUCAGUUAACAAGUCAACAUCAAUUUCUUUUGCUGUAAAAAAGCUUGAGGAAGGUGGCUUGAGAUUCGUCUUAAGUGUUUAUAGCCUCUUGCCUAUGCAGUCGGAGAGAUUGAGGUCUGCAGCGUAGAUCCUUCGGGGCUAAAUGCAUUUGUGCUAAGUUAUAGCAUUUUAUAGACAACUUGUUGACUAUGAUUUGUCUUGUAGCUUACUCGCUUAUGUUAUUUUACCUACGCUUAGGAUGUUGAUAUGCAUGACUGAUAU
rnacentral:rRNA from 1 species